GACGAACGCUGGCGGCGUGCCUAAUACAUGCAAGUUGAGCGAUGAAGAUUGGUGCUUGCACCAAUUUGAAGAGCAGCGAACGGGUGAGUAACGCGUGGGGAAUCUGCCUUUGAGCGGGGGACAACAUUUGCAAACGAAUGCUAAUACCGCAUAACAACUUUAAACAUAAGUUUUAAGUUUGAAAGAUGCAAUUGCAUCACUCAAAGAUGAUCCCGCGUUGUAUUAGCUAGUUGGUGAGGUAAAGGCUCACCAAGGCGAUGAUACAUAGCCGACCUGAGAGGGUGAUCGGCCAAAUUGGGACUGAGACACGGCCCAAACUCCUACGGGAGGCAGCAGGAGGGAAUCUUCGGCAAUGGACGAAAGUCUGACCGAGCAAAGCCGCGUGAGUGAAGAAGGGUUUCGGAUCGUAAAACUCGGUUGGUAGAGAAGAACGUUGGUGAGAGUGGAAAGCUCAUCAAGUGACGGUAACUACCCAGAAAGGGACGGCUAACUACGUG
rnacentral:rRNA from 1 species